AGGUCUGCCCUUCUCGCCUUCAGGGCAGGUCUCUCAGACCCGGCCAACCUCCUUUCGUCAUGGAAGGGCGACGACUGCUGCCGGUGGAAGGGCGUCUAUUGCAGCAACAGAACCAGCCAUGUUGUCAAGCUCGAUCUCCAAGGCAGCGGUUACACAAUCGACAGUGACAGUAGGAAGGUGCUAGCAGGCAACAUAAGCUCCUCGUUGCUUGGUUUACAGCAUCUGCGGUAUCUCGACCUCAGCUCCAAUGAAUUCGACAAGAUGCAAAUACCGGAGUUCAUUGGUUCUCUCCAUAAGUUGAGAUAUCUUGACCUAUCAAUGUCAAUGUUCACCGGAAGGGUACCGCCGCAACUGGGUAAUCUCUCCAACUUACACUACUUAAAUCUUGCGUACAACUCAGAUGGCAUAUACUCCACUGAUAUCACCUGGUUGUCACGGUUAACUUCCGUUGAGCACCUGGACAUGACCUGGGUGAACCUCAGUACAAUUGUCCACUGGCUUCCGGUGGUCAACAUGCUUCCAACUCUGAAAUUUCUUCGUCUUAACUCUUGCCAGCUUAGAACUAGCCCUGAUUCUCUUCAGCUCUCAAAUCUGACAUCUCUUGAAACACUCUUGCUUGCGAGCAACCAGUUCAGUCAGCGUAGCACACCCAACUGGUUUUGGGAUUUAACUAGCCUCAAGUAUCUAUAUAUCACGGGCUGUGGUUUCUAUGGCCCGUUUCCAGACGAGAUAGGUAAUAUGACCUCCAUGGUGGAACUUCAUUUAUCAGAAAACAACCUUGUGGGCAUGAUACCAUCCACUAUGAAGAAUCUAUGUAAUCUGGAGGCAUUAUAUUCUUAUAAGAGCAAUAUCAGUGGGAGUAUAACAGAAUUACUCCAUCGAUUACCCAAUUGUUCAAGGAAUAAACUACAGCAGUUAUAUCUAUCGGGCAACAAUCUGACUGGAAGCCUGCCAACUGCACCAGUACAAGCAUUAAGCAACCUGAGCUGGCUGGCUCUCGAUGAUAACAAACUCACUGGUCCUCUGCCACUGUGGAUAGGAGAGCUCACGACGCUGACAAUAUUGGACCUUAACUCCAAUAACCUAGAUGGGGUCAUACAUGAAGGCCAUUUAUCGCGUCUAGAUAUGUUGGACAGUUUGAUCUUGUCACACAACUCCAUAACCAUCACAGUGAGUCCAACAUGGGUUCCUCCUUUUAGUCUAAGAAUGCUUCACCUUCGGUCUUGCCGGCUAGGGCCUAAAUUUCCAAUGUGGCUUAGAUGGCAAACACACUUAUCCAAUCUUGAUAUAUCAAACACAAGCAUAAAUGACAUGGUACCAAGUUGGUUUUGGAUGGCAGCUUCCUCAGCAGAGUUUCUCAAUAUCCGAAAUAAUCAGAUUUCAGGGGUCCUCCCAUCAACAAUGGAAUUUAUGAGAGCAGUCAAAAUGGAUUUCAGUUCUAACCAGCUUGGUGGUCCAAUACCGAAGCUUCCCAUCAAUCUAACUAGCUUUGAUCUCAGUGGGAACAGAGUAAUCGGGCCACUUCCAUUAGACUUUGGAGCGCCGGGGCUUAGGACACUUCUUCUAUAUAACAACAUGAUCUCUGGCGCCAUUCCAUCUUCUUUGUGCAGUUUGCGAGCAUUGAGGUUGUUAGAUCUAUCAAGAAAUGGUCUCAAUGGGUCAAUUACCGAUUGCCUAGUCAACGAAUCCAGCACAAACAUGACAGGCCUGGGUAUUGCCAAUCUAAGCUUAAGAAACAACAACCUCUCGGGUGAAUUUCCUUCACUACUCCAGAAAUGCCCAAGACUCAUCUUUCUUGAUCUCGGACAUAAUCACUUCUCUGGGACUUUACCAGCAUGGAUUGGGGAGAAGCUAUUGUCUCUAUCAUUCUUAAGACUGAGAUCCAAUAUGUUUUAUGGUCCCAUUCCAGUCGAGCUUUCAAAACUUGUCAAUCUUCAAUAUUUGGACCUUGCCUACAACAAUAUAUCGGGGAGCAUACCGAGAUCCAUUUUUAGUCCCACGGGCAUGGCACAAACAAGAGACAAAACUGAUUAUCUUCAGUAUGCCUCUAGUUCUGAAUUUGGUGUUGGUCAAAAUCAACUAGUUGACUACACUGUGAAUUUCACGGUACUCACAAAAGGUCAAGAGAGAUUAUAUACAGGAGAAAUCAUAUACAUGGUGAAUCUUGAUUUAUCCUGUAAUAGUAUUACCGGAGAGAUCCCUGCAGAGAUCAGCACUCUUGUACAACUGAAGAACCUGAACCUAUCAUCGAACAACUUCAACGGCAAAAUUCCUGAGAAUAUUGGCGCUUUAAUGCAAGUGGAGUCACUUGACCUAUCACAAAAUGAGUUGUCUGGUGAGAUCCCUUCAAGCUUGUCGGCUCUCACAUCAUUGAGUCGCCUGAACCUGUCCUUCAACAAUCUGGGAGGAAAGAUACCGACUGGAAAUCAACUGCAAACACUUGAAGACCAGGCAUCUAUUUAUAUUGGCAACGCGGGCCUUUGUGGCCCCCCUCUCUCGCGGAAAUGUUCACAGCCGGAGCCAAUUCCAGGAGAAAGCCGUCGAGAUGCAAGUGAUGGUGACGUGGUUUCGUUUUUCGUCGCCACUGGUUCCGGAUAUGUGAUGGGUCUGUGGGUGGUCUUCUGCACCUUCUUGUUCAAGAGAAGAUGGAGAGUCUCAUGGUACUCGCUCUGCGACAACCUGUACAAUCGGGUCUAUGUGCAAGUGGUUGUUACCUGGGCUUCCUUGCGAGGUAAACUUAAUGGGUAG
rnacentral:rRNA from 1 species